rnacentral:rRNA from 1 species
CCCUUAGAUGUUCUGGGCCGCACGCGCGCUACACUGACGAAUGCAACGAGCUUAUAACCUUGGCCGAAAGGUCUGGGUAAUCUCCAAAUUUCGUCGUGAUGGGGAUAGAUUAUUGCAAUUAUUAAUCUUCAACGAGGAAUGCCUAGUAAGCGCAAGUCAUCAGCUUGCGUUGAUUACGUCCCUGCCCUUUGUACACACCGCCCGUCGCUCCUACCGAUUGAAUGGUCCGGUGAAGCGUUCGGACCGUGGCCUUUGGACGGUUCGCCGUCUGUUGGCUGCGGGAAGAUCGUUAAACCUUAUCAUUUAGAGGAAGGAGAAGUCGUAACA